GUGUCGUGAGAUGUUGGGUUAAGUCCCGCAACGAGCGCAACCCUUAUCCUUUGUUGCCAGCGUUUCGGCCGGGAACUCAAAGGAGACUGCCAGUGAUAAACUGGAGGAAGGUGGGGAUGACGUCAAGUCAUCAUGGCCCUUACGAAUCUAUACCG
rnacentral:rRNA from 1 species